GAGUGGGUCGGGCAAUCGCGUGCUUAGCAUGAGGAAAGUCCGGGCUUCAAAAGGCAAGAUGCCAGCUAACAGCUGGGCGGGGCGACCCGACGGAUUAGUGCCACAGAAAAGAAAACUCCCCCGCUGCCCUCACGGGUGAACUGGAAUGAUUGUCUGUAAGACAAGAACGUUUAUCUAAGGAUAAACUUCUUUGCAUAUUGCUACGCAAAGAAGAUCCUUACAAAAUAGGAAUUUCAGUCGCUCAUGAAGGCAGCGGGAGAAAAGCUGAAACGGUGCGGUAAAAGCGCACCAGUACAUUGGCAACAAUGUAGCUUGGUAAACCCCAUCUGAAGCAAGCGCAAAUAGGAACGCUAUACGGCUGCCUUUCCGUGCGUUCGGGUUGCGUGCUUGAGUUGUGCGGUGACGCACAAUCGAGAUAAAUGGUUGCCAAUUACAGAACCCGGCUUAUAGACCCACUCC
rnacentral:RNase_P_RNA from 1 species